rnacentral:rRNA from 1 species
GAUGAACGCUGGCGGCGUGCCUAAUACAUGCAAGUCGAGCGAACGGACGAGAAGCUUGCUUCUCUGAUGUUAGCGGCGGACGGGUGAGUAACACGUGGAUAACCUACCUAUAAGACUGGGAUAACUUCGGGAAACCGUAGCUAAUACCGGAUAAUAUUUUGAACCGCAUGGUUCAAAAGUGAAAGACGGUCUUGCUGUCACUUAUAGAUGGAUCCGCGCUGCAUUAGCUAGUUGGUAAGGUAACGGCUUACCAAGGCAACGAUGCAUAGCCGACCUGAGAGGGUGAUCGGCCACACUGGAACUGAGACACGGUCCAGACUCCUACGGGAGGCAGCAGUAGGGAAUCUUCCGCAAUGGGCGGAAGCCUGACGGAGCAACGCCGCGUGAGUGAUGAAGGUCUUCGGAUCGUAAAACUCUGUUAUUAGGGAAGAACAUAUGUGUAAGUAACUGUGCACAUCUUGACGGUACCUAAUCAGAAAGCCACGGCUAACUACGUG